CACACUCGGGCAAAUGCCACCUGUUCAUUGGCUGCUGACUUGUGAGUCGUCUCGACUGAGUGUCUGUGAUUCGACACUUCUAUGAGUGAGGGUCUCUAAUUGGCCCUCAGUCCUCCAGAUUAACAGUGAACCAAUGACAGAAGCAGCACUAAGGUAUAAUUAUUUGAAUUUUAGCAUAACACGAAGUGAACCUGCGAAUUUUCCGGGUCUCUAGGUAUAACUUAAAGUGAUUUUUUUUUAAAGUUCUUCGCAAAAAUACCUCCCUCUUUUUCGAUUCUGCCAAUUUACGAGCUCGACAGAGAUUUUAUUAAUGCACGGAUAUGGAUAUCUUUCAUUUUCACGACUGAAUAUUCAGCCAGGGAUUGCCGGUGAUUCGGGAAAUUUUCAAAAUUCAGACAGCGAGUUGAGAACAUGCAGAUCACUGAUUACCCUCCCCCCUCCCCCACUCCUCCUCGUAAGCUACAUCGACUCUUGUGCUCGACCUGGCAUGGGUCAGUGUCAUUGCGACUGCCUGCUAUAGGCGGUAUGCUCCAUCGGCCCGGGCACACACGCCUGUUAGAGGCGGACUGGAAGGUGCCAGGCGGGGGGUGGGGGUGAAACAUGUCAGUCAUGCGCAUGACGAGAUGACGUGGGUACCGAGAGAGAGAGAAGGUAAACCCCCCUGCGUGACGAGUCCACUGCCCACACUUAUCGCUUGCUUACAGGGAAGCGACGUGAAGGGGGAAAAAAAAAACACUCCAUGUCAGGACCUGCCGAGCGAAACUUUGCACAUGACAUUUCUGCCAAGACAAAGAAUGUAAAGGGGAGAGAGGUGUGGGCUGCCAUGCAGUACUCUGAUUGGUGAGACACAAAGGGGAAGACAGGCAGGACUGGGUAGUUGUCACGGCAUGAGAAAGAUAUUCCUGCCACUACCGUUGUGAGGUGAUCAUUGGUGGGAUAUAAUUUAUUUCUUGGCUCUGACAAAAACACUCUUAACAUAAAAAUCACAAAGUUAAAAUGCCCAGGUCAGAAUAUUGAGUAAAUUGUAUUAAUUUAUGGUCAAGGUAACUUUAACUCAAAUGUUGCCAAAAGACAUAAAUUUUUAUUUUUUUUACGUUUGCAUUGAACAGUUUUUUUUAUUUUAAAGAAUUUCUUGGUGGGAUUUGUAAUAUGUGAUGUUGAUGAACUGAGAAGGCUUUUAUAAGUUGGUAGUACUGAGGCUUUUGUUUACAGGUUCAUUGAACAGCUGGUUCUACUUCGCCAAACUUUCACAUGGCAAGAUCUUUUUCAACAAGUUAUAUUCACGACAGCAGCCAUCCGUGAUGUCGCUGCACGUCGCGACAUCACCAGCUGGUCAGCUUGCCUGUUCGACCCGGCCCGUAGCCAGUAGCGUGCAGUGGCGAAGUCGACCAGACUCUUCAACACGCCAUACAACACACAAGAAGAGGAAAGUUCGGAACGACCAACGAUGAACUUCAGCAGCUCCAACACCACGCUCUUCUUCUUCUGCGCAUUCAGAAACAGUUUUCACUGGACGAGGUCUCAUUGCAAAACAUAAUCUCACAAGUUUUACAUAUGUAUUUAAUAACAAGGUAUUCAUAUUGGUGUGGUUUUCUAACCUGUGGGUCAGAUUCGUCAUGGAAAGCAUCUUUUAUGCCAUCAAUGAAUAUAAGUGGCAUGGUCAAUUGCACAACUGAACUGAGACCUGGAAGAUGCAUCUGUAACAAAAAUGAAUAAAAGCAAAGUUAUAAAAAAAAUUAAGGGCUACUCUGUUUUCUGAUUUCUGCACAUUAAUAAAUUGUUUUGAAUUUCAAAAUGUUUUAAUAAGACAUUACAUAAACCAUGUUUACUUCUGUCAUGAUGUACUUAAAUUCACUGCAUAAUAAUUUAAAUACAUUAAAGGUAACUUUUCUUUUGUGCGCUUACAUAACAAUAACAUGACCAAAAAAAUUGUGGGGUUUCCUAUGAAUCUAAUAGUCGUAUUGAUUUGAAACUGUGCAAGCAUGUGUAAUCUGGAUGACAAUACAAUAAUUUAGUACCAUCAAACUGGUCUAAUGAUGGAGCCAAGAGUUGGAUAGUGGAACUCUUCAAUGGCUACUAAUAAUCCCCUUGAGUUUGGGCUGUUUGGUUUAUUUUAACGAGUCACAUAAAUUACAAUUGGUGCCGAGGGUCAUUAACACACACUCACGUUUGUAUAUUUAUAUUGAUUAUCAUGUAUACUCCAUACCUGUUUUAUCUCUGUGUUGUAAUUUGUCCUGAAGUGAUCCAACACAUUUCGUAAAGCUUGCCGUAUUUCUGGGCUGAAACUAUCGGAAACUAUGGAUCCAGCAUCAUCUUCCACAAAAUAUACCUUUAAAGUUUUGAAGUCAACCUGUCAAUUGAAUCACAGUAGCAAUGUAAGACUCUUGUGAGUGACUGCAACUAACAUACUAAUCAAUUG